ACGGUGAAGCUGGGGAAACCCCCGCUAGUUUGGGAGGGAAGCACACCCCUGGGAAAUGCUCAGAGCCUGCGUAUAUUCUGGCGGGACCGUCCUGGAACCGAGCUGGAUUGUUGAGGGGGGACUAGGU
rfam:Loxodonta africana cont3.43694, whole genome shotgun sequence.